rfam:Oryza meridionalis cultivar OR44 (W2112) chromosome 6, whole genome shotgun sequence.
UUUAAGUGCAACUAUGAGUUUUCGCGCUCAACUUUAAUCGUCCAUCUUAUUUGAAAUUUUUUUGUAAUUAGUAUUCUUGUUGUUAUGAGAUGAUAAAACAUGAAUAGUACUUUAUUUGUGACUUAUGUUUUUAAAUUUUCUCAAAAAUUUUUCAAAUAAGACGGAUAAUUAAAGUUAGACACGAAAACUCAUGGCUGCACUUAAA